UACGGGGGGGAGCAAGCGUUGUCCGGAAUCAUUGGGCGUAAAGCGCGUGUAGGCGGCUAGGUAAGUCUGCUCUGAAAGCCCGGGGCUCAACCCCGGGAGGCGGGUGGAUACUGUCUAGCUCGAGUCCGGAAGAGGAGUGUGGAAUUCCUGGUGUAGCGGUGAAAUGCGCAGAUAUCAGGAGGAACACCAAUGGCGAAGGCAGCACUCUGGGACGUGACUGACGCUGAGACGCGAAAGCGUGGGGAGCGAACAGG
rnacentral:rRNA from 1 species